UGGGGAAUUUUGCGCAAUGGGCGAAAGCCUGACGCAGCAACGCCGCGUGAGUGAUGAAGGCCUUCGGGUCGUAAAGCUCUGUCAGAGGGGAAGAACCGCCGGGUGGCUAAUACCUGCCUGGUCUGACGGUACCCUCAAAGGAAGCACCGGCUAACUCCGUGCCAGCAGCCGCGGUAAUACGGAGGGUGCAAGCGUUGUUCGGAAUUAUUGGGCGUAAAGCGCGUGUAGGCGGUUUGUUAAGUCUGGUGUGAAAGCCCUGGGCUCAACCUGGGAAGUGCAUUGGAUACUGGCAAACUUGAGUACGGGAGAGGAUAGUGGAAUUUCGAGUGUAGGGGUGAAAUCCGUAGAUAUUCGAAGGAACACCGGUGGCGAAGGCGGCUAUCUGGACCGAUACUGACGCUGAGACGCGAAAGCGUGGGGAGCAAACAGG
rnacentral:rRNA from 2 species